AUAAUCUGGACAUCUACUGGUCCUAGUCUGCAAAGCUAAGGCUGCCUAGCACCUUCAAUACUGUGCCAUGGUCUUUCCUCUUUGAGGGGAGUGCUGGAAGUAGGGAAUCCCUCAAAGUGAUCUAUUAUAAUUUAAAUGGUAAAUCUAGUUGAUAGAGGAGUUCUGCCACGUAAGAAUAACUGAUUCCUCUGUCGACUGAGGGAUUAAAUCAAAGACCCUUCAAAAUGGCUGUGUGGGAAUAUUCAGCAUCUGUGGACGUGUUUUUGUUGAGACAUCUCUGUGCUGAGCCAUCUCAUCUGAAAGAGGCUGAGAGCAUAUGAAGGCAGACAAAGUACCCCUUGAUGACAAAAAAUGCAAAUCCCAAACAAAACAUUUGCAGAACCAUUAGUCACCAUUUCCAUGCAACUGAGCAAUGAUAUAGUAUUAUAGAAUGACUCAAAGAUUUGUUACGACUUCUGGUGAAGUGUUCUGCCCUCUGCUUUAUUUCCCCCUGCCUGACUGUUGGUUUUCCCAAGACCUGCUGGCAGAGGAAGGUUUUUGCAGUCUGCAGUGAUGAUUCUGAGAAGUGUGUAGGAAACAGAACCAUGCUGGAUGAUGUGACUCACCUUGGAGAAGUUGAUGCUUUCUGGCUGAGUGAAAGUGGAAAGUUCCAGCCUUGCUAGUUCAGAUGUUUUAAUGGAUAUUGCUGCAGCAGAGAAACCCUUGUAUUCAUGUCUUGCUCAGCCCUGGAUAGGGGAGUAACAAGUUACAUACUGACUGAAAAGUUUAAUUAUUUAUGAUUUAAAAAAAAA